GAUCAUUACCGAGUGAGGGCCCUCUGGGUCCAACCUCCCACCCGUGUCUAUCGUACCUUGUUGCUUCGGCGGGCCCGCCGUUUCGACGGCCGCCGGGGAGGCCUUGCGCCCCCGGGCCCGCGCCCGCCGAAGACCCCAACAUGAACGCUGUUCUGAAAGUAUGCAGUCUGAGUUGAUUAUCGUAAUCAGUUAAAACUUUCAACAACGGAUCUCUUGGUUCCGGCAUCGAUGAAGAACGCAGCGAAAUGCGAUAAGUAAUGUGAAUUGCAGAAUUCAGUGAAUCAUCGAGUCUUUGAACGCACAUUGCGCCCCCUGGUAUUCCGGGGGGCAUGCCUGUCCGAGCGUCAUUGCUGCCCUCAAGCACGGCUUGUGUGUUGGGCCCCCGUCCCCCUCUCCCGGGGGACGGGCCCGAAAGGCAGCGGCGGCACCGCGUCCGGUCCUCGAGCGUAUGGGGCUUUGUCACCUGCUCUGUAGGCCCGGCCGGCGCCAGCCGACACCCAACUUUAUUUUUCUAAGGUUGACCUCGGAUCAGGUAGGGAUACCCGCUGAACUUAAGCAUAUCUUAAA
rnacentral:misc_RNA from 1 species